rnacentral:rRNA from 1 species
UACAGAGGGGGCAAGCGUUGUUCGGAAUUACUGGGCGUAAAGGGCGCGUAGGCGGCCCGCUAAGUCGAACGUGAAAUCCCCGAGCUCAACUCGGGAACUGCGUCCGAUACUGGUGAGCUUGAAUCCGGGAGAGGGAUGCGGAAUUCCAGGUGUAGCGGUGAAAUGCGUAGAUAUCUGGAGGAACACCGGUGGCGAAGGCGGCAUCCUGGACCGGCAUUGACGCUGAGGCGCGAAAGCUAGGGGAGCAAACGGGG